UACGGAGGGUGCGAGCGUUGUCCGGAAUCACUGGGCGUAAAGGGCGCGUAGGCGGCUCGGUAAGUAGGGGGUGAAAUCCUGCGGCUUAACCGCAGGGCUGCCUUCUAAACUGUCGAGCUCGAGCACGGUAGAGGCAGAUGGAAUUCCCGGUGUAGCGGUGGAAUGCGUAGAGAUCGGGAAGAACAUCAGUGGCGAAGGCGGUCUGCUGGGCCGUUGCUGACGCUGAGGCGCGACAGCGUGGGGAGCAAAC
rnacentral:rRNA from 1 species